CAGGGGGCAGCUGACAGGGGUCAAAUAUGACACACAGGAUGCUGUGAGAUUGAGAUAUUCUUCAUGUUGUCAUGUAUGUUACAGAGAAGACACGCACCGCCACGGGGGGCACACUGCACCAUCGGGGCUGGACUGGGAAUUAAAACCAGCCCUGGAUUUGUCAUCGUGUGAUCUCCCUGAGCCGGACUCCGCGCCUCCACCACCUUUGGAGACAGAACUCUUAUCGCUCCUGAUCGCUUGCGUUGCUGGGUUGCUUCCGGGAGGAACAGGUUUACCUGGAUGGGAUUUUAUGCAUCCUGCGGCACGGGCGCACCAUUCAUUUCCACCUUUUGGCUGAUCUUGGAAAGGUGUCAUAUGAAUAUGUAGAAGGUCUCAGGAAGUUUGCCGCCUUGGAGAACGUUCGGACUGCGCCAACUACAAAACAGUUUGUACUCCUUGAUGGAAUAGGCAUCGGGGCACCCAAUGAAAACUCGGACGGACACCAAAGAAUCCUUCCUCUGCUGACAGCGUUGUCUCGCACCACAAUAGUUACAAUUAGCUGUUAGUUAGCUUUGUGGCCCCAACUUCAUUUCUAGGGGCUCGUGGCCGGCA